GAGACUGGGGUGGGGCC
rnacentral:miRNA from 1 species